rnacentral:lncRNA from 1 species
UUCUGACUUUGGCAUAUGAAGGUUCCUUUUGAGCUAAGAAGUUUAAGGUAUGCCCUCUCCUUUUGAAAUUGUGAUUGAAGUAUAUAGACAGAUAUAUUUCAGCUCCUAUCAAAUAUACAUAAGAAACUUGACUUUUACUUAUAAUUUUGUACAUAAUAUUUUUCUUGAAUAAAAUAUUAUAUACAUUUUCCUUCAUACUACUUUUCUCAUUUACAUUUUCUAUCACUGAUGUUGGUCACUUCUUGAUAAUUUUGUAGGGCUACAGUAGAAAUUGGCCAUAAUUUUUCUUUGUAAGGAGAAGUAGGGAACUCAUCUUCAUUAUUUUCAGUAUGUCUAAUCAUUAGGCGCUGGUCACUUCUUCUCCGCAUCAUUUUUCUUUGUAUGUAGAAGCAAGUUACUCAUCUUUAUUAUUUUAAGUUUCUUCAAUAUUGCAGGGGUUACACUAUAAAUUGUCCAUUAUUUUUCCUUUUAUAUAGAAGUAAGGUUGAUCUCACUUUGAGUUUUACAUUCAUACUUUUGAGUUUUCCUAAUCUAAAGGGAUAUUAAAUGUUUAAAUAUAUUGGUGGAUACACAAGGAUCUGUCAACCUUACUGAUUUUGAACUGGCAAAGGUAAAUAUCUUGCUCAAUUUAUACAUCAAUGUAGAGUCGUUUGUUAGUUUCUCUGAUAUUUCAAUUUUAGCUAUGGAUAUCUAAAUAUUGCUCAACUGGUUAACAUUUUAAUUUUCUUAUAUUGCUUUAUUAUUUCAGGCAACCAAAUUGAAUGAUGACAUUAAAUUAUCCAAGGGGAUUUGUUUUGCUGCCUUGCUUUCAUAUGCUUUGGCUUAUUUUCAUUAGGUGUUUUUGCUAUUUGAAGCUCUGCUAUUUUAGUUUUAUAUGUUGUUAUCACAGUAUUAUGUUGUUGUUAUUGGUGAUUACAUGUGAUGUCUAAUGCUUUUUUUUUAUAUCGUGCAGGAAGGUCAGGGUGUUGUCCCAAUGGUUGCACCAUGAGGUUGCUGUUUUGAAAUUGAAAAAGGAGGUAUUAACUGGCUUGGUUAAAUUGUAACCUAUGCUGCUGUUCGGUUUGGUGACUGAUGAAGCUUGGUAUGAAGAAGUUUUUUCAUUCACUUUCUCUCUGGGUUAAUUAUUUAUUAUUUACAUUAUUUAUUGUUCUGGAGUUUCAUAGUUGCAAUGGCAAGAAAUAGCCAUUUUAUUUAGAGCUUACAAGGUGCUAGAUUUACAUAUUUGUGUCAUGCAUUAUAUCCUUCAAUAAUUGUUUGCUUGCAAUAUGUUUCCUAAGCCGACUCACGAAACACUUGCAUCAAAGCUUUAUCAGAAAAAGGUACUCUUCAACUAUCUUUUCAACAAAUAAUUAUGACUUUCUUGAUUUAGUUUGUAGUAUUCUUUCAUUUUGUUUCAAAAUGUAUUUCAACAAUCAGUUUUGGUUUUCUGUUUGUAAUAACAUGUUGAAAGAAAUGUUGAUCAUUUGAUAGGAGACAACAAAAACAAGUUAUUUUUCUGUUGGGUAAAUAUUGCUAAGUAGCAAGUGUGAAGGAUAGUUAGUCUUAUAUUGAAUGAGAUAAUGUAUGAGAGACUGAGAGUUUAUGAGAUGAGAAAUUCAUCAUAUUACUGCCUUAAGCUUUUUAAGUUAGUGUGGUAUAUUCUCUCACUUGAUUCCUAUACAAGUGAUUG